rnacentral:tRNA from 1 species
GGCUGGGUGGCAGAGUGGUUAUGCAUCGGCCUGCAAAGCCGCGGACACCGGUUCGAUUCCGGUCCUAGCCU